AGCGAACGCUGGCGGCAGGCUUAACACAUGCAAGUCGAACGGGCAUCUUCGGAUGUCAGUGGCAGACGGGUGAGUAACACGUGGGAACGUACCCUUCGGUUCGGAAUAACUCAGGGAAACUUGAGCUAAUACCGGAUACGCCCUUUUGGGGAAAGGUUUACUGCCGAAGGAUCGGCCCGCGUCUGAUUAGCUUGUUGGUGGGGUAACGGCCUACCAAGGCGACGAUCAGUAGCUGGUCUGAGAGGAUGAUCAGCCACACUGGGACUGAGACACGGCCCAGACUCCUACGGGAGGCAGCAGUGGGGAAUAUUGGACAAUGGGCGCAAGCCUGAUCCAGCCACGCCGCGUGAGUGAUGAAGGCCUUAGGGUUGUAAAGCUCUUUUGUCCGGGACGAUAAUGACGGUACCGGAAGAAUAAGCCCCGGCUAACUUCGUG
rnacentral:rRNA from 1 species